rnacentral:rRNA from 1 species
UACAGAGGUCCCAAGCGUUGUUCGGAUUCACUGGGCGUAAAGGGUGCGUAGGUGGUUAGGUAAGUCCGAUGUGAAAUCUCCAGGCUCAACCUGGAAAUGGCAUUGGAUACUAUCUAGCUUGAGGAGUGGAGGGGGGACUGGAAUUCUCGGUGUAGCAGUGAAAUGCGUAGAUAUCGAGAGGAACACCAGUGGCGAAGGCGAGUCCCUGGACACUUCCUGACACUGAGGCACGAAAGCUAGGGGGAGCAACAGG